rnacentral:rRNA from 1 species
GAAUUGCGAUAAGUAAUGUGAAUUGCAGAUUUCCAGUGAAUCAUCGAAUCUUUGAACGCACCUUGCGCUCCUUGGUAUUCCGAGGAGCAUGCCUGUUUGAGUGUCACCGAAUUAUCAACCAUCUCUUGAUCAAUUUCAAGAUCUUGGCUUGGAGUUGGGAUUUGCUGGCAUGCUGGGACAAUCCCUAGUCAGCUCUCCUAAAAUUCAUUAGCAAUGGCUUGCUAGUCUUUUGAUGUGCACGGCCUUUCGAUGUGAUAAUGAUCUCGUCGUGGCUGGAGCAUCUUAUUUAGACCAUGCAUGAAUGGCCCAUGGCUUAUAAUAUUUGAAUUCACUCGUCUUGAAAGUCUACCAAGCUUUAGUUACUAGUCAGUCUACAAGGUCUGGCGAACACAGAGCAAGGUUUUUCUUGACUUGUGUAUUUACCUUUUGGAAGCUUGACCUCAAAUCAGGUAGGAUUACCCGCUGAACUUAA